GACGAACGCUGGCGGCGUGCUUAACACAUGCAAGUCGAACGGAAAGGCCCUGCUUUUGUGGGGUGCUCGAGUGGCGAACGGGUGAGUAACACGUGAGUAACCUGCCCUUGACUUUGGGAUAACUUCAGGAAACUGGGGCUAAUACCGGAUAGGAGCUCCUGCUGCAUGGUGGGGGUUGGAAAGUUUCGGCGGUUGGGGAUGGACUCGCGGCUUAUCAGCUUGUUGGUGGGGUAGUGGCUUACCAAGGCUUUGACGGGUAGCCGGCCUGAGAGGGUGACCGGCCACAUUGGGACUGAGAUACGGCCCAGACUCCUACGGGAGGCAGCAGUGGGGAAUAUUGCACAAUGGGCGGAAGCCUGAUGCAGCAACGCCGCGUGCGGGAUGACGGCCUUCGGGCUGUAAACCGCUUUCGCCUGUGACGAAGCGUGAGUGACGGUAAUGGGUAAAGAAGCACCGGCUAACUACGUG
rnacentral:rRNA from 1 species